AACAGAGUCCUUACCACACCUUGUUGACCCAUGCAUGUGGAACAGGAUGUGGUGCAGACUCA
rnacentral:pre_miRNA from 1 species